rnacentral:rRNA from 1 species
UCCGUAGGUGAACCUGCGGAAGGAUCAUUAGUGAAUACACCCUGAAGCGCGCUUGAUUUACCAUCGAGCCGCUUUCAGAUCACUAUUUUUCACACACUUGUGCACCGGUUUUAAGAAGCUGCUUGAAUGGCAACGUUCAAGCGGUGACUUUUUACACGCUUGUGUUUUGUUAAAACGGUUGUUGAUGACAUGUGAUAAACGAAAGCAAAACUUUCAGCAAUGGAUCUCUUGGCUCUCGCAUCGAUGAAGAACGCAGCAAAGCGCGAAAUGUAGUGUGAAUUGCAGAAUUCAGUGAAUCAUCGAAUCUUUGAACGCAUCUUGCACUCUUUGGUUAUUCCGGAGAGUAUGCUUGUUUGAGUGUCACGAAACCCUCUCAACCCCGUUUUCUAGGCAACUGGAAAAUAGCUUGGGUUUGGAUCAUGACAGCUGUUGGUUUUUACAACCAACUCUGUUGAAAGAUAGCAGGCUGAAUCAACUUAUUUGCGGGCUUGACCUGUUGUUGUACCUUUAAACUCAAUGGGAACGCAUCAAUGUUGAACGAGUCUUUAACAAAGCUUUUUUUCUUUCGACCUCAAAUCAAGUAGGGCUACCCGCUGAACUUAAGCAUAUCAAUAAGCGGAGGA